AACGCGAAGAACCUUACCUAAGCUUGACAUCCUUUUGACCGAUGCCUAAUCGCAUCUUUCCCUUCGGGGACAGAAGUGACAGGUGGUGCAUGGUUGUCGUCAGCUCGUGUCGUGAGAUGUUGGGUUAAGUCCCGCAACGAGCGCAACCCUUGCCUUUAGUUGCCAUCAUUAAGUUGGGCACUCUAGAGGGACUGCCAGGGAUAACCUGGAGGAAGGUGGGGAUGACGUCAAAUCAUCAUGCCCCUUAUGCUUAGGGCUACACACGUGCUACAAUGGGUGGUACAGAGGGCAGCCAAGUCGUGAGGCGGAGCUAAUCCCUUAAAGCCAUUCUCAGUUCGGAUUGUAGGCUGAAACUCGCCUACAUGAAGCUGGAGUUACUAGUAAUCGCAGAUCAGAAUGCUGCGGUGAAUGCGUUCCCGGGUCUUGUACACACCG
rnacentral:rRNA from 1 species